UCUAGGUGCAGAUGUAAAUUUUCGUGUCCAAUAUUAGACCGUCUAUUUUAUUUGAAAUUUUUUAUGAUUAGUAUUUUAUUUGUUAUUAGAUGAUAAAAUAUGAAUAAUAUUUUAUGUGUGGCUUUUUUUUAUAAAUUUUUCAAAUAAAAUGGAUGGUCAAACAUUGGAUACGGAAAUCCACAAAUGCACUUAAA
rfam:Oryza nivara chromosome 11, whole genome shotgun sequence.